GAUACCAGGGGCAAAAGGCAGGAAAUCCGAUGCAAGCUUGCCUGCAAGAGGAUUUUUGGCCUUGGGACCCGUCAAAAAUGUGAAUAAGCAGCCAUUUUUCGCAGAAAAAUGAGCGGAUUAUGAAUGUUUUUCAGAAUUGCGGGAGCACGCAGUGCGUAGUAAUUCGGU
rnacentral:sRNA from 1 species